AAGCAACGCUGGAAAGAGAGUCGGCUUCGGCUGGCUCCACCGAAGGGGAAAACUGCGCUAAGCGGCCAAUCUCUCAGGUUCCGGGACAGCGCGGG
rnacentral:ncRNA from 1 species